ACCCGUACAAUCACCGAAGAUAAACAACGUCGAGCCAGGUCAGUACUUAGAUGGGUGACAACUUGUGAAUACCAGGUGCUGUAAG